CCACAGAAACCCUGUAAUGCAGGUCUGGCACUGGUUUUACAGAUGAUGACCAUAAGGGACAGACGUCUCAAGGAACUGAUUCCUACCCCUGAGCUAACAAGUGGCAGAAUCAGGUUCUGAAUCCAGCCGAUGUGGGUCCAACAUUUCCCGCCUUAAUUGCAAUGCUAGUCAUUGUUAUCAGCCUCUCAUCUGAUCUUGAGGCUUGUGCAUCUUGACUUCUGAUCUCAUCGUGACUAUCUCAAAGGAUCACUAAAUCUCCAAAGUCAAAGUCCCGCUUGCUCAGGGAACCAGCCCCCUUCCCUCCAGUUUUGCAGGUGUAAUACAGCCAUGGGUCGUGCACCGUGUGGUUUUUAUCAGAUCACAGUGGGGACUCAAGUUUUCUGAAGGAUACACCAGGCUGGGCUUCCACAUGGAUGUGUUUGCUCACGUCUCACACUUCACUUGGUAUGGCUAGAACACAGCCGUCUUAGACUUCCUCAAAUCCCAAGGAUCUCAUGGUUUCUAGACUUAAUGGUGACUGGCUUCUACCAUAGUGAGCCUAUAUGCUAUCCAGUCUCCUCCAUUUUUCUUGCUUCUUCCAGCUGACUAACCCCCACAGGGAAGUGGGGUUAACACAAAUGAAAUGUCUGGGGUUUUUUUUUUUUUUUUAAUGGGUGCUUUUGUGCAUUAUCACAGCUUCUUUCUUGAAGCUUGAAACACCUGGAAAUAAAGUAACAGUAUAUUCCGCAGGGGUUCCCAGUAA